rnacentral:rRNA from 1 species
CCUACGGGCGGCAGCAGUGGGGAAUAUUGGACAAUGGGCGAAAGCCUGAUCCAGCCAUGCCGCGUGUGUGAAGAAGGCCUUCGGGUUGUAAAGCACUUUCAGUGGGGAAGAAAGCCUUGGGGCUAAUACCCUCGAGGAAGGACAUCACCCACAGAAGAAGCACCGGCUAACUCCGUGCCAGCAGCCGCGGUAAUACGGAGGGUGCGAGCAUUAAUCGGAAUUACUGGGCGUAAAGCGCGCGUAGGCGGUCUGAUAAGCCGGUUGUGAAAGCCCCGGGCUCAACCUGGGAACGGCAUCCGGAACUGUCAGGCUAGAGUGCAGGAGAGGAAGGUAGAAUUCCCGGUGUAGCGGUGAAAUGCGUAGAGAUCGGGAGGAAUACCAGUGGCGAAGGCGGCCUUCUGGACUGACACUGACGCUGAGGUGUGAAAGCGUGGGUAGCAAACAGGAUUAGAUACCCCAGUAGUC